AACGAACGCUGGCGGCGCGCCUAAUACAUGCAAGUCGAGCGAGAAGGUGUAGCAAUACACUUGUAAAGCGGCGAACGGGUGAGGAAUACAUGGGUAAUCUACCAUCGAGUGGGGAAUAACCAACCGAAAGGUUGGCUAAUACCGCGUACGCCUCCGGAUCUUCGGGUUCGGAGGGAAAGCUGCACUGUGAGUGUAGCGCUCUUUGAUGAGCUCAUGUCCUAUCAGCUUGUUGGUAGGGUAACGGCCUACCAAGGCUUUGACGGGUAGCUGGUCUGAGAGGACGAUCAGCCACACUGGCACUGCGACACGGGCCAGACUCCUACGGGAGGCAGCAGUAAGGAAUAUUGCGCAAUGGGCGAAAGCCUGACGCAGCGACGCCGCGUGGAGGAUGACGGUUUUCGGAUUGUAAACUCCUGUUAAGCGGGAAGAAAGCCUUGUUCUAAUACAAGCAAGGUAUGACGGUACCGCUAGAGAAAGCACCGGCUAACUUCGUGCC
rnacentral:rRNA from 1 species